CAUCUCAGGCAAGCAUGAACAAACCUUUGAUCACCCAACCUUGAUGAGCUGGAAGGGGUAUCUGUUGAGUCUCCUCUUGGAUUUCAAAUCUCCCUGAUUUUUUGGUUUGAGAUCCAUACUAUAUUCAAAUGACCUGACUUCAUGCUCAAGGGGGAUUAAAGUUCUACUUUAAACCUUUAAGAGGAAAUCUCUGAAGAAAUCGUGGAUGGAAAUCCUGGCCAGUUACAUUCACUGAACCUUGAAACAAUUGUUACAAGAAACUCAACACGCCUGACUCAGGGUUACUGUUCAUUCUUCUGGAAGCUGCAGAGAAAGGGAACCUGGAAACCUGUGUUGCAUUACUGAAAAUAUAUAGAAG
rnacentral:lncRNA from 10 species